rnacentral:rRNA from 1 species
CAGCCGCCGCGGGAAUACGAGGGGGGCAAGCGUUGUUCGGAAUUAUUGGGCGUAAAGGGCGCGUAGGCGGUUUGGCAAGUUUGGUGUGAAAUCUUCGGGCUCAACUCGAAGUCUGCAUCGAAAACUGCCGGGCUUGAGUAUGGGAGAGGUGAGUGGAAUUUCCGGUGUAGCGGUGAAAUGCGUAGAUAUCAGGAGGAACACCUGUGGCGAAAGCGGCCCACUGGACCAUUACUGACGCUGAAACACGAAAGCUAGGGGAGCAAACAGGAUUAGAGACCCCAGUAGUCCCUGUCUCUUAUAC